UUGAAAAAGUUAAGUUUAAGUUAGUGCCUAAAGUUAAGUAAAACUUGAUUGUUUGUGAAAAAUAAUCAUAAAAAAUACAUAUUCAUGAAAAUAUAUAUAACGAAUGAAUUUUUGCGAAUGGAUAAUACUACUCCGUCGUAGUAAUUAUUAAUAUUUGGCCAUAAUGUACACUACAGCUCACUUGAAAAGGUUCAAAUUAAUAUUUUGCAAAAAGUAAUAGGAGAGAAUCACAAAACUUGACUUUUACUUUCCAGGGUUGCCAACUGACUUUUAUCAUCUGAAACCAUAAUUUUUAAUUCGCUGUCUGAAUCGGAAGAUAAAUCAGAUGAUUAUAACAAAAUAUAUACAGCUUCCAUUUCAAAUAUCAAUCCUUUAAAUUUUGAUGGUUAUUUUUAAUUUGUUUUAAUAUUAUUACACCGUUGUUUACACGUUGGAGCCAUCUAUGAGGAAUGUGAUGAGAUUCACCCUUAAGAAAAUGCUUUGAGAAUCUAUAAAAAUAUACCAAACUACCUUGAGGAUAUGGAUGAAAAUAAUUUUAGGAAAAGGUUCCGAAUUUCUUCUCAGUUGACUGCCUAAUAGUGUAGACGUGUUUUAUGAAUACUCCUCCAAAACUUUGUGCGCGAAGUGUUUUAAUAUUGUUAAAACAAACUUGAUUACUUGCCAUAUUUGUGAAGUAAACUUUCAUUUCAUCUGCUCUAAUAAAGAUGAAGGUUUAAUUGAAUUAUUUAAUAAAAAUAAUAACGUUGUUUUUAAUUGCGACGAUUGUCUUAAUAUUUCCAAAGAUUUAGUUGCUUAUAUUUCUUCUCUAUCCACCGAAGUGAGAGAACUAAAUUACAAUUAAUAGCAACAACAAUCAAUGAUAAUGUGAAAGAGCUAACGCAAUGGUUCAAUGAACCUUGAACAAUCGAGAAAUCAACUUAAAUGCCUCCGGGAAGUUAGUGUUCUUGUCUGGUAAACCGGAGGUGGUGGGUUCGAUUCCCACCUGAGACACUGGUUAAGGACUAACCAACAAAUAAAAAUCAAAUCAACAUAAAGUUAAUGAUGUUGUUGGUGCUUCAAACAUAUAUAAUAUUCGUGGUGAUGAUUUCGCUAGUUCGCCUGUUUCUUCUUUUCUACUGCUGCAUCAAACACGUAUGAAGCUGAGAACGUAUGGGCAAGGGUUCACAGACGUAAACGAAGAAACCGUGUGGUUGUUUUUGGUGAUAAGAAGACAAAUGAUGUAGCUGUGGUUUCAACGAAGAAUUAUUUACAUAUUUCUUCAUUCGAACCUACUGUUUCUGCAGACCAAAUAAUUUCUUAUGUAGAUAAAAUUGCAAAAAUAAGUAAAAAUAUACGAGGUUGGUUUAAAAAAAAUGUUGAUGUUAAUACUUUAAAACAUGUUAACUUUAAAUUAGCUGUUUCUCAAUGUUAUUAUAAUGAAAUUAUAAAAUCAUCAUUAUGGCAGGUUGGAAUUAAACUUCGCCCAUUUAUUAAAAAAAAACUGCCAAGUUUAAAAUUUUUUUACCAAAAUGACGAAAUCUUCUCAAUUAUAGGAUCACAAUGUGGUGUUGACGUCUUUGUUAUUGCUGAAACUUGGUUGAACUCGGAUUUUCAAGAUGGCGAAUUCUUUAAUAUGAAUUUAUACAACAUUUAUCGAAGAGACGGAAGUGCUGAAAAGACUGGAUGUUUGCUUGGUGGUGGAAUACUGAUAGCCGUAAAAAAGGAUUAAAAUCUUAUUCAUGUUCAUCAAUUGUUGUUGAUGAUUUAUUAGAUAAAUUAUUUUAUACUCAUUGCACAUUGAUAACGUUAUUCAUUUAUAUAAUAACUUGUUUUUUUGACGACAAUAAUUUAGGUAACAUUGUUUGGUCUACUUCUAAUAAUGAUUUAAUUCCAACUAAUCUAAAUGAUUUCAAAAUGUAUGUCAUUGAUAGCUUUUAUGAAAUUGAUCUAGUACAAAUAAACAAUGUCUUCAAUAAAUUGAACAAAAUUUUAUUUAUUUUUUUUUUGCAUUUAGGAAGAAGAAAAGGAAAUGUGAACAAAAACAAAUGCUUUAAAAAAAUUGUAAAUAGGCAAACAAAUUGCUGAACAAGUUUUUAAAGCUAGGAAGCCAUGUUGGUAAUACGGACGGACAAUAAAGCCUCAUCCGCUAAAAGAACUCUUCCGCUCUAUAGUUGCCUCCAGUAAACCAGCUAGUUGCCGCAGGGAAACGAUUGCCAGAUACCGUUUAUCCCCAAGCGAAAUCAUGAACCUUUAAAAAACGUGGGAAGGUGAUCUCUUGGUAUCAACACCAGCCAGGAGGAAAUUGUUCGAUAGGUAUAGCACGUAGGGAGAUGGACUUUUAUUCAUUUUUUAUUCACCCCCAUCGGCGAGCUUCAAGCCCGGCAUAAGCGAGCAUACCAGCGCCACUUUGUUUUUUGUAUUGUUUGUUUUAUCUACUGUUUGGUCAACGACCAAACCGAUUAUCAAACAAUAACAUCACCAUGCCCACACUACAUACUACAAUAUCAAAAUAGAUGCUUAAACAUCCCUGGUACACUAAAGAAUUGAGAAGACUGAAAAUCAAAGAAAUAAAUUGCCUAAGUUAUAUAUUACUUCAGAUUGUCCUGGAAUUUUUAACCAACAUAAUUUACUGCAAAAACAACAUCCCCACGACAAUUGGAUCUUCGCUCCGGAACGACCCGAGUCAUACUCGGCCAAAGAUUGUCAACCCAGUGACAGCUGUAUUAAUGAACGUUUUUUCCCCAGGAAAGAACUAUCGGCCAUAGUCUAGCUGUUACAACAACAACUGCAAAAACAAUACAAUUUUUUAAAUAAAUUUCUAUAUAAACAAUAUGUAAUAAAUAUGGA
rnacentral:lncRNA from 1 species